GGGUGUAGAGCUCAGUGGCAGAGCACAUGCUUAGCAUGCACAAGGUCCUGGGUUCAAUUCCCUGUACCUCCA
rfam:Camelus ferus unplaced genomic scaffold scaffold750, whole genome shotgun sequence.